rnacentral:lncRNA from 1 species
AUGGUCAUGCAGGCAGCCCCGGGGUCGGUCCUCCUGGGCAGGAGGGGACCUGGCUCCCACCCUCCAAUGCCUCGAUUUGAAAAUAAGGAACAAGGCAGUGUGUACCACUCUGGUGUAUGCGUUCUCUGGGGAGGUCCACACACGGGGCUCCCAGGGAUCCGGGCAGGAGACGGUGGCUCAGGGAGGGCCAGCGCCUACCCUGAGGUCACACGGCGACCCAGCGGGGUUCUCCCACGGGUGCCCUGGGGGCUCGGGCCGGGGCCGGGGACCUGCGCUCCGCCCUUCCCCGCCGGCAGCCCCGUGGGGGACCUCCGGGCACCGCCUCCCGGGCUCCUCCGACGAGGGCGACGGCGUCAGGGCGCCCUCCGGUGGCCGCCGCGCGCGGAGCUUGCAGCCGGGGCGGGGGGGGGUGACUGCGGCCGGGGACCCCCGCGCAGGGGUGUCCGGGCCUCGCGGGCGCGUUUCCUUGCCAAAGGCAUGUCUGCGCUGAAACCGACUUUGUGUAAAAUCGAUGAAAUCGAUAUCGCCUCGUGGCUCCGUGAAGCGCCCCCGCGCCCCAGGCUGUGCGGAGUAGCGAGCGCGGGGCCCGCGGCACCGGAAACGCCGGCUAUUGUGUCUGCGCGGGUCGGCGGCGGGCCCAGGGGGAGGCGGGGCCCCGCCCCCCGCGCCCAGGCCCCGCCCCCGCGGCCCCGCCGAAGCCCCGCCCCCGCCCCUUUGUGCCGCGCGGCCCGCGGGUCCGCCGAGAACGCCGGCUGGCAUCGCCCCGCGCGGCCGGACCCCAAGCCCGGGGCGCGAGGGGGGCACCUCCGCAGCCCGCGCCCCCCGCCCGCCCCGGCUGAGGCCCCGAGGUCGCGAAGGAUAAACCCCUCGCCCCUCCGCGUUUUAAAAAUCGCCUGCAUCUGCCGAGCGCAGCCAGAGGCGCGGAGCCGGGCGGAUGAAAUGGGAGCCGAGGGCUGCGGGCGGCCGCCGCUGGGCACCGCGUCCCCUCCCGCUCCCGCUCCCGCUCCCGCUCCGGCUCCCGCGUGCUGUGGGGCGGCUGCGCUUGGCCUGGCCUUCCGGCCCGCGGGAGCCGAGCAGCCGGGCGGGGCGGGGGGGCCGAGGGUAGGGGCGUGGCGGGGGGCGAGCGGGGCAGCCCAGCAGCUCCCACGCGCGGGGGCGCGGUCCACGCAGGGGGCUCCGGGGGGUGGGGACGCGGGCGGGCGAGCGGGGGCGCCACACCAGGGUCGCUGUCUGCGCCCUGGCGCGUGGUGGAAGGGGUGGGGAGGAGGUGGCCGAGCACUGAGGACUGGAAGGAUGGGGGUGGAGGGUGGGUCCUGA